GGAUUAGAUACCCUGGUAGUCCACGCCGUAAACGAUGUCUACUAGCCGUUGGGAGACUUGAUCUUUUAGUGGCGCAGCUAACGCGAUAAGUAGACCGCCUGGGGAGUACGGCCGCAAGGUUAAAACUCAAAUGAAUUGACGGGGGCCCGCACAAGCGGUGGAGCAUGUGGUUUAAUUCGAAGCAACGCGAAGAACCUUACCAGCCCUUGACAUCCCGAUCGCGAAUAGUGGAGACACUUUUCUUCAGUUAGGCUGUAUCGGUGACAGGUGCUGCAUGGCUGUCGUCAGCUCGUGUUG
rnacentral:rRNA from 1 species